GUUUACGGCCAAAGCACACUGAAUGCGCCCAAUCUCAUCUGAUCUUGGAAGCUAAGCAAGGUUUGUCCUGGUUAGUACUUGGAUGGGAGAAAUUCAGAUACAUUACAAACU
rnacentral:rRNA from 1 species